rnacentral:rRNA from 1 species
AGAGUUUGAUCAUGGCUCAGGACGAACGCUGGCGGCGUGCUUAACACAUGCAAGUCGAACGAUGAAGUGGAGCUUGCUCCACGGAUUAGUGGCGAACGGGUGAGGAACACGUGAGAAACCUGCCUCGGAUUUUGGGAUAACAAAUGGAAACGUUUGCUAAUACCAAAUAACGUCGGAGAGCUUCAUGGCUUUCUGACGAAAGGAAUUCCGAUUCGAGAGGGUCUCGCGGCCUAUCAGCUUGUUGGCGGGGUAAUGGCCCACCAAGGCAACGACGGGUAGCUGGUCUGAGAGGAUGGUCAGCCACACUGGGACUGAGACACGGCCCAGACUCCUACGGGAGGCAGCAGUGGGGAAUCUUGCGCAAUGGGCGAAAGCCUGACGCAGCAACGCCGCGUGCGGGAAGAAGGCUUUCGGGCUGUAAACCGCUUUCAGCAGGAACGAAUAUGACGGUACCUGCAGAAGAAGGAGCGGCCAACUAUGUGCCAGCAGCCGCGGUGAUACAUAGGCUUCAAGCGUUGUCCGGAUUUAUUGGGCGUAAAGAGUUCGUAGGCGGUCGAGUAAGUCGGGUGUGAAAAUUCUGGGCUCAACCCAGAGACGCCACCCGAUACUGCUUAACUUGAGUUCGAUAGGGGAGUGGGGAAUUCCUAG